rnacentral:rRNA from 1 species
UACGAAGGGGGCUAGCGUUGCUCGGAAUCACUGGGCGUAAAAGCGCACGUAGGCGGCUUUCUAAGUCAGGGGUGAAAUCCUGGAGCUCAACUCCAGAACUGCCUUUGAUACUGGAGAGCUUGAGUCCGGGAGAGGUGAGUGGAACUCCGAGUGUAGAGGUGAAAUUCGUAGAUAUUCGGAAGAACACCAGUGGCGAAGGCGGCUCACUGGCCCGGUACUGACGCUGAUGUGCGAAAGCGUGGGGAGCAAACAGGG